GUUUUCUCCAAGUGUUGAGUAUUUUUAAACUGAUGUUAGGGAUUAAUGGCAAACUGCAGUGUAAUGCUGUGUUAUUGUUUAACAGGUGCAUUAGUGUAUGUGA